rnacentral:rRNA from 1 species
CAGCCGCCGCGGUAAUACGGAGGGCGCGAGCGUUGUCCGGAUUCACUGGGCGUAAAGCGGGUGUAGGCGGUCGGGUAAGUCGGACGUGAAAGCCCGGGGCUCAACCCCGGAAGGGCGUCCGAAACUGCUCGACUUGAGGGCGGGAGAGGGAGGUGGAAUUCCCGGUGUAGCGGUGAAAUGCGUAGAUAUCGGGAGGAACGCCGGUGGCGAAGGCGGCUUCCUGGCCCGUUACUGACGCUGAGGCACGAAAGCUAGGGGAGCGAACCGGAUUAGAUACCCGGGUAGUCCUGGCUGUAAACCAUGGGCGCUAGGUGUGGGUGGUGGUGAGCCAUCUGUGCCGAAGCUAACGCGUUAAGCGCCCCGCCUGGGGAGUACGGCCGCAAGGUUGAAACUUAAAGGAAUUGGCGGG